rnacentral:lncRNA from 1 species
UACCGACGCCAGUGGCAGUGCGGCUGAGGAUGAGAACGGUAGGAGCCCCCAGGGCAGUGCUUGGCUGGGUGGGAGCAGGUGUACAAACUCCCUUCUGGACACAGCUGGACUAUAUUUCCCAGUAUGCCUUGCAGCAGACCUGACCUGGAAGGAGUUCUACCAAGGGCGGGGAAGCGAGGCCCUGGGAACCACUGUCCGGCCAGGCUCCCUGAGCCUCUGGCUCCUGUAAGCCAGAUCUCCAGGCCCAGGCAGGGUCUGAGGGCUGUGGGGUGCAGGACCAGCCCUCCCCUCAGGCUUGUUUCUGAGCUGCCCCACAGUGUGGUGUCGGUCACAGUACCUGACACACCAGCCCCUGGAAAACAGUGAGUAUCUGCCGUGUUGAGCUUUCAAGGUUUCAGAGCACUCCGCACAGACAGGCGCCCACAGCACCCACGGGAGGGGCUCCAGGACCUCUUCUCGAGUCCCUGGCCUAAGGUGGUGCAGUCAACAACGUAACCUCGGGCACACGGAGCCGCCUCUAGUCACUCACAGUCCAGUGCAGUGUGAUGUCUCGCUGGAUUGCUCUGGGGAAUAAUGGCAGGAAAAGGGUCUGUGUGUGUGCAGUACAAAUGCAGUUUCUUUUUUUCUUUUUUUGAACAUCUGAGGGGCAGUUGGCUGGGUCUGUGGGCUCUGCAGACAUGGAGGCCAGGUGCGCACAGACUUCGGCCUGCCUCCUCCUCCUCCUCUAGCUGACCCCUGGGUUGCCUCUAGCAAGCACCCCGCUCCACCUGGAACUACUGCAGUGCUUCAGACAGAGCAGGGCUUCUGUGUUGGACAAACAGGAGAAGAUGCUGACUUCUUAAUGGGACUCAGUGGAAACUUGCAGUGUGACCCCUCCGUCUUUCCAAGUUGCAUCCCAUGUCAGAGGCCAGCACUUAGCCCACCGCAGUGAGCACCUGGAGCCACACAGUGGCCGGGCUUGAGAGGCAGGGAAGGCUGGGGUUCUGGGGAUGCGGCCCCAGGGAAGCAGGCCACACUCACGGUGCCCCUGGGAGCUGUAAGCGGGUGACCGCAUGGCCCUUCCUCUCUCUCCCUCCCUCUGUGCAAUACCUCUCCCUUUUCUGACAGCGUCUUACUUAUGCUCUGACUCCGACACCCAGUUGUCCCAUUUGUGAAGGAGGGAGGCGGGGAGCAGGUUGGUAGUGACCUUGCGAUUGUUCACAAAGACACAACCUGGACGAUGCCAGGGUGAGCAUGUCCACCCUGCAGGCUGCCCGUGCCUUGGCCCGCUCCCUGGGAGCCAUUCUGGAAGGUGGUUCCUGAGUCGUGGGCAAAGAACGCCCAGUGCAGAGUGACGCCCUUCCCCACUGCUGUGUGACGGGCCUGGCCCAGAGCAGAGCUGCCGUGUGAGCCUGGCAUCACCUCACCACGCUGGCCCAGCGGGCAAGGACCUUGCACUUUCGAGGCAGGCGGUGGAACCACUGAGCUACAUUCCCAGCUCAGGAAUUUGUCUUCCUUUCUGAGGCGUCUCCACACUGAUCUCUGCAGUGUUGUACCGCGUACUCCCCCACCCGUGGGGAAGGCCCCUCGCCAGCGCUUGUUACUGCUGGGUUUCUUGAAGAUGGCCCUGCCCUCUGGGGAUGGUGGGACUCGGUGCUGCUUUAAUUUAAUCCCUUAUUCUCAGCGUUGCUGUUUACUCCUUCAAGUCCUGAACUCACACAGGUAGUUUCAAAGUUGCCAACCUUUGUGCCAUGAAAAGAAAACCUACUGGAGUUGAAGCUCAGCACUUUUCCUUUUGGGGAGAGGUGGGCAGGCAGGGAGAGGCGGGGCUGAGUGAGUCUGUGGCACAGAUGCCCACACCGCCCACCGGGCCUCCGCUCUUCGGCCCUGCCACGAAGCCCUGCGUCUGCGUUUCCAGCCCUCCCUGCUGUCGGGCUCAGCCAGGGAGCUGUUGGCAGCCCCUUUAUCAGGAGGUGGGAAUGCCUGGGGCCCAGGCAAUGGGACAUCAAAUGUCCUUGACGGAGAAAGGGUAAUUUCAUCCAGGUUCCUCAAACACUCGGAAUGGAGCCAGCGUGUGACGCUGCAGUUGGCUUCUGGGUGCUCACAUCCAAGGCUGCGGAGCUGGUGUGGCAAGGAGACACCUACACGCCACGUUCACCACAGCUGAGAAAAACAGUGCACCCAGGCAUGCCCCACCAAUGAGCGUGUGAAGGGACAGUGGACGCGCAUGGCAGCAUGCCGUGAGCCUCACAGAAGAGGGAAACAUGUCCUUUCUGACACACAGGUGAAUCCGGGCGAUGUUAAGUAAGACACACCAAGCAACAACAACAAUACCUGUGUGUGUGCGGUGCUGGGGACUGGACCCAGGACCUUCACACUGAGCUACAUCCCCACCUUUUCAUUUUCUGUUUUGAGACAGGGUCUCGCUAACUUGCUCAGUUGCCCAAGCUGGGCUCAAACUUGCCAUCCUCCUGCCUCUGCCUCCCAGUGCUGGGAUGACAGGCGUGCACCACCACACUUAGUUCCUGCUCUAACUUUUCAACAAAAUCCAUUACACUGUGUAGGAAAAGGUAAAAGAAAACUACGCGAUGGCUUUCUGGAUCUUUGUGUUCUAAACGCUGCCCUAACUUCUUGGAGAAGGCUUGUCGGUCAGUCGGGACUCAAGAAAGCCCUGGGCCUCCCAGGAGGCGCCGCCCCUCCUCGGCCCCAUGCACUGGCCUUGGGAACCCUUCGGGUUGCCCAGACGCGAGGAUGGGGCUCCUCCUCCUCCACAGGCCCAGCACUGCCUCUGCUGAGGGUAGAUUUGUUGGAUUCAUAUGCUUGUAGAAAGCAUAGAGAUACAAGUUUAGAAGGAGAAGCAGUCACAGUGGGAACAAGGAGAGAAGCGAGGAGAGAGGCCGCUUCCUUGCUGGAGCCGGAGCUCGAGGGCCUUGGUUCCCAGCGCCUCUCCCCGAGAGUUACACCUGCAUCAGCUGCUCUAGGCUCAGACCCUGCCUUGGCCGUGGACCCUCCCUGCCCUUGCACUCUCCCUCUCUCCGUGAGAUUUGUGACGGGGCCUCAGGCUGACGGCCAAGUUAGCAAGUAUUAAGAGGUACGUGCGCAUGUCAGUGCAUUCACAUGCUGAGAGAAUAAUAAAAUACAGGGCCGGGAUUUAGCUCAGUGGUCAUGCCUGCCUUGCAAGCACAAGGUCCCCAGUUCGAUCCCCGGUACCCAAAGAAACCAACAACAUACCUGCAUUUAUACACAGGUGCCUGAGCAACCAGGCACAAAUGUACAGCUGCCCCCGAAGUGUGUUUCUGCAAUUCAGCCUGUCCACUGCGGCCCCUCUGCACCUGGCUGGAGCCCAGAGGAGGACCUGGGCCUGCCGACACCCUGCUCAUGCUCCGCCUGUCCUGCUCCCUCCAGGUCAGGGUUUGCCGAGUCCUUCCCUUCCCUGCCCUGACCCCUGCCCUGACAAAGCCCUCCCGACGGAUGCAGGUGCCGGUAGAUAAAGGACAGGGACUGACGAUGUCUUACUGCAUCUGUGCACAUUUUAGUCAGUUCACCAAGCACCUCCCAGGCCGCAGGGCCCAGCGGGGCUGCGCUCCUGCCUGGCCCUACUGGUCCCAGUCCUUGACGAUGCUCAGGACGCCCCGCUCAGGGGCGGGGCCUGCCAGCCUGGCCAGCACGUCCAGCCCUCCGUGCUCCUUCUCCCUGGAGGACACAAAGUGGGCAGCUCCUGCACCCCGGACCCCGGGGCGCCCGCCCGUGUCCCCGUCCCUGUCCCCGUGGCCUGCGCAGCUCCCGGAUCUGUGGCAGGCCAGGCCGAUUGGGACCGCAGGGCAGGAGCCCGGGCACCGCUUACCGGAGGACAACGUUGCAUGCCUGGCGGUGGCCGCUGACCAAGGCCUGCUGGCCCCGCUCCCCAACAUCGUUCCCGCUCACGUCCAGGUGCCUCAGCUCCAGGACAUGCAGGUGGCAGCUGGGGCACGCCAGGGCCUCGCACAGAGUGGCGGCGCCGUCAUCCCCGAGGUCAUUGAGGCUGAGGUCCAGGCUUUGGAGGGCGCUGCUGCUCUCGAGAGCUGAGGCCACGUCCUGACAGCAAGCCGAGCAGUGAGACCGAGGACUCAUGUGCUGACUCUGUCUUCCACCACUUGAGGAACAGCCAAGAACGUCUUCUGAAGUGCCAGCACCUUCUCCUGCUUCUCCGGGGAAAGCUCAAAGUGUCAGUGCUUCCUCAGCAGGCAUGGGCGCGUGACCCAGAGGCCCACACCUGCAGACUCCGGCGACUUUUCCUCUCGGAGACACAUCGUCAUCGGCCUCACACUUGCCAUCCUCCUGCCUCAGCCUCCCAGAGUGCUGGGGUCACAGGCGUGCACCACCAUGCCUGGCUCCGUAUUUAAUUCUGUGCUGAACUUCCUCCCGUGACAGCCAAGUGAGACCUCCCCAGGAGGAAGGCAGCGUGACCUGGACACUGACCCUGAGCCCCCGCCCGGCUCUUGUGAUGAGCAGAUGUCGCCGUCCUGCGCAUCUGCAGGGCCCUGGGUGCCUGGGCCCCGCUAACCUGCCUCUUCAGUGGAAAUAACACCCUUUUCCUGACUGCUGUCCCCUGGCACAAGCAUGGCUCCAAUAGGCCUCUGUGGGUCACACGUGUGCCACAGACUAGAACACGAAGCAGGUGUGCUCGGCACUGCUCCCCGCACGCCGAGCCUCAAGGGGAGGCACCUGGGGACUCACACCAGCCUCUGGAGGGGCAGCGCCGCGCUUGCCAGGCUCUCCCAGAUGUGCCUCGCCCCUUCAUCCUUCAGGGCAUUGCCCGCCAGGCUCAGGUGCGUCAGCGUCCGGCUGCUCCCCAGGGAGACGGCCACGCCCGGGCAGGCCAGCUUCAUGAGCCCGCAGCUCUCCAGCCUGGGGACAGAGACUCGAGCGUGAAGGCCUGCCAGCAGUUCCCUAUACCAAAAAUAUCCCAGCCAACCAAAGGAACAAACAGCCCCCGCCCGCCCCUGUGAGACAGGAAAGGGAUGGCCCAGGAGGAGGAGAGGCGCAGAAGCCUGGCCUGCAGUUUAGAGCUAAGGCGGAGGCUGAGGUUGUGGAAAGCGUUCGUCAGGGAUCAGCGUGACGCAAUGAAAACGGGAUCCCGUUCCCACGCCACCGAGUGGAAAAGCGGUCAGAAAGCGGGCUGCGAAGGCUCAGAGGAGCUGUCAGACGCGCUAUGGGUGGACGGAGCCCGGAGGUGCGCAGCCCGGAGGAGCGCGACCUGCAGCACGGCCGCCCUGUGCAGCAACGCCCGCCACAGCACCCGUGUGUGCGUGUGUAUGCGCGAGUGUGCG